rnacentral:rRNA from 1 species
CCUACGGGUGGCAGCAGUGGGGAAUAUUGCACAAUGGGGGAAACCCUGAUGCAGCGACGCCGCGUGAGUGAAGAAGUAUUUCGGUAUGUAAAGCUCUAUCAGCAGGGAAGAAAAGGACGGUACCUGAUGAAGAAGCCCCGGCUAACUACGUGCCAGCAGCCGCGGUAAUACGUAGGGGGCAAGCGUUAUCCGGAUUUACUGGGUGUAAAGGGAGCGUAGACGGCAGCGCAAGUCUGAAGUGAAAUGCCGGGGCUUAACCCCGGAACUGCUUUGGAAACGGUGCAGCUAGAGUGCAGGAGAGGUAAGUGGACUUCCUAGUGUGGCGGUUGCAUGCGUCGAUCUUAGGCGGAACACCAGUGGCGCCGGCGGCUUACUGGACUGUACCUGACGUUGAGGCUCGACAGCGUGGGGAGCACACAGGAUUAGAUACCCUAGUAGUC